UUCUUUUUUAAGUCUCCUUUCUAUUUAGCAUUAAACUCAUAUACCAUUUCCUGAAAUAAAGCCAAUAGAAGUUAAAUUAAUGAAAACUAACUAGAAUUUUUCCUGAGUUCUGCUUUCUUUCCAAGGCAGAGUAUGACAAGAUGGAUCCAUAUCCAUAUUUUGGGUGGCAUUGAUGACUCAGAUAAUGACCUAUACCUUUGCAGCAACAACUGAAUGAUGUCUAUAGAUAGAGUUUUUAACUCACUAGCUGACAACCUGGAUUUCAUUCAAUUUUAUGGGAUGAUGGUCCUGCCACUGUCAAGAAGUUUGUUCCAUGCACUAUCCAAGAAAAUAAUGGGAUCUAGAAACAUGUUAGUCCUGCAUUUCGAUCCAGCCUGAGAGCAUUUUCCAGUGUGUCUGGGCAACGUUACAGGUGUAUUUAACCUCUAAUGCACCUGAAAUAUUAGACCCUUGUAAUACAGAGUCAUAGAAAACAAAACCCUUGUUAAACCAGUCAUUAGCUAUUAAACAAAACAGAGAAACAACACUGGAUGGAUGUUUGAGAAAACAAGACGUAAUCACUGGCUUGUAUGGACAGGUAGUUCUGAAAACGGGCAUGUCUUCUGAAAUGUGUUAGUUCCUUAUGGGCAGUGCCCUGGUGACAUAGUUCUCCAUGAAGAACAUUUUGCUGAGUUUGCCGUGAUCUGAAAUUAUGAUGCUGCUGCUGUGGAUGAAAAGACUAAUGCGGCCCCUUGAUAUCUUUUCACACAUAUCCAUCAUUCUGGUCAUUCAGCCUCCAUAAAAGUGAUGCAGUGGAUAAAAGUGGUUUAUCAAUAUUUUAAAAAUGCUGUGAAAAUGGAUGGUUCUUUUGUUCAAUGAGACAGGUUUAAAGAUAUGAAAUAUGGUUAUUGAAUUCCCUCCCUCCCUUAAGUGCAGAGAGUAGGGUCACUGGAAUUACAUUCAAUCAGUAGGGUACAGACUGUACCGAAUGUGGGGGAGACCCACACCCUGAACCAUUGAAGGCCAUGAUGAAUGUUCAUUUUUUUAUAUUAUGUUUUUGCUGCUCAUUAAGAGGCACCGUGUCCAAAAUGAAAAACCUUUAGAUUCGGGAUUCAAUAGUUCACUUCUUUUGGAUUGUGCCUGAUGGGAAUUUGGACACCGCCGAGUGUAAUUAUGUUUUUCAGCAAUGUGACUUGUGGGGCUGCAGAUAUGGGUGUGCUUCAGCGAUUUCUUGCCAAGAUCUGGCUGAAAAGGAGCUGGGUGGUUGUUUUUUAAAAAUAUAGUAAUUAGGCUAUUAGUUGUUCAAAUGGAAUAAUUCCCUUAAGCCUUUUCAAGAAAAACACUUCCAAAAAGGUCAAGUGCAUUUAAAAUUAGCCAUUAUUUAUGUAGGUGUUCAGCCUUUUGCCCACAACUCCUCCAGGAGUUGUUUCUUUUUGGAAAAAAAAAAAAUGUUGCUUGUGUCUGUCAGAAAUCGUACGAUUUUUCAAAGAGGUUCAGAACUGGUUCUUAGGUCAAAAGCAGCCAAAUCCCUGGCUUCACAGAAGGUUCAUCAUAGAGUCAUCUCUUUGUCAUCUGCGGAAUGCUACCCUGAGUGUUCCCCUGGCCUUUGGACAGUCUCUUCUGUGGACCUGGAGAAGGAGCUGGCAGGGGCCUUACCGGCCGCUCAGACGGAGAAAAAUUCAGAACAAAGUAAAAAAGAGGCAGCGAAUUGUGGGGUUGGAUUGGAGCCCAGGCCUGUGUUGCUGACCUCUGGGCUCAGAUCUGCCCUGGGAUGGAACCCGCUCACCCGAUGCAGACUCCUGAUGGCACGCCACCGCCCUAUGCCUCCCCCACGACACACCCUCUGGGUGUGUCUCAUCUUCUAGCUGGAAGAUCGGCUUUCUUUCUGUUCUUAUUGGGCCUUUUUGAAUUGCAAAUCAGCCAAAACUGACAGCGGUCACAUUUUAAGUCCUGGUAAUUGCCCCAGCUCCCUCAGGGAGUUUCAUCAUUGUAAAGAAGUAUAAUUACUUCCAAACGUUAUUUUUCUUUCAUUUUCUCUCUCUACCCUUUCCUUUAAUUAAACACUUUGCAUUUUA